rnacentral:rRNA from 2 species
CUGGUGUCAGCCGCCCUUUUAAUACCAGCACCUCGAGUGGUCAGGACGUUUAUUGGGCCUAAAGCAUCCGUAGCCGGCUCUGCAAGUCUUCGGUUAAAUCCACCUGCUCAACAGAUGGGCUGCUGGAGAUACUACAGAGCUAGGGAGUGGGAGAGGCAGACGGUAUUCAGUGGGUAGGGGUAAAAUCCUCUGAUCCAUUGAGGACCACCAGUGGCGAAGGCGGUCUGCCAGAACACGUUCGACGGUGAGGGAUGAAAGCUGGGGGAGCAAACCGGAUUAGAUACCCGGGUAGUCCCAGCUGUAAACGAUGCAAACUCGGUGAUGCAUUGGCUUAUGGCCAAUGCAGUGCCGCAGGGAAGCCGUUAGGUUUGCCGCCUGGGAAGUACGGACGCAAGUCUGAAACUUAAAGGAAUUGGCGGGGGAGCACCACAAGGGGUGAAGCCUGCGGUUCAAUUGGAGUCAACGCCAGGAAUCUUACCCGGGGAGACAGCAGAAUGAAGGUCAAGCUGAAGACUUUACCAGACAAGCU